rnacentral:rRNA from 1 species
UACGUAGGUGGCAAGCGUUAUCCGGAAUUAUUGGGCGUAAAGGGAGCGUAGGCGGACUUUUAAGUGAGAUGUGAAAUACUCGGGCUCAACUUGAGUGCUGCAUUUCAAACUGGAAGUCUAGAGUGCAGGAGAGGAGGAUGGAAUUCCUAGUGUAGCGGUGAAAUGCGUAGAGAUUAGGAAGAACACCAGCGGCGAAGGCGAUUCUCUGGACUGUAACUGACGCUGAGGCUCGAAAGCGUGGGGAGCAAACAGG